UACGAAGGGGGCUAGCGUUGUUCGGAAUUACUGGGCGUAAAGGGCGCGUAGGCGGUGUGUCAAGUCAGGCGUGAAAGCCCCGGGCUCAACCUGGGAACCGCGCUUGAGACUGGCACGCUAGAGUUCGGGAGAGGAUGGUGGAAUUCCCAGUGUAGAGGUGAAAUUCGUAGAUAUUGGGAAGAACACCGAUGGCGAAGGCAGCCAUCUGGACCGACACUGACGCUGAGGCGCGAAAGCGUGAGGAGCAAACAGG
rnacentral:rRNA from 1 species